UGAAAGUCUGUUAUUGGGGUUGGUUAAUCCUUGAAGGGUAUUGAAGCUAGAGGAAGAUUUUUGAAGGUCAAGUGAAGGAGAGAAAACCCAAUUUGGUUCUGUUAUGGGAAGAGGUAGAGUUUCGGUUAGGCUUAAUGUGGAUUUCUGUUAGAAGUUUUGUUAGAGGGUUGUUGACAGUUGGGUUAGUUAUGAAGGUUGUUAUGAAUGAGUUGGAAGUUG
rnacentral:lncRNA from 1 species